rnacentral:rRNA from 1 species
UACGAAGGGUGCAAACGUUAUUCGGAAUCACUGGGCGUAAAGGGUGCGUAGACGGCUUAUUAAGUUCGUUGUUAAAGGCUCCGGCCCAACCGGAGUAUUGCGAUGAAAACUGGUAAACUAGAGGAUGAGAGAGAGAAGUGGAAUUCCCGGAGUAGCGGUAAAAUGCGCAGAUAUCAGGAAGAACACCCGUGGCGAAGGCGGCUCUCUGGGACGGUACUGACGCUGAGACGCGAAAGCGUGGGGAGCGAACAGG